GGAAGUUGCUGUCUGCCUGUCUGGGAAGAGGCUAAGCGACUGUCAUUAAAAGUAACAGUUGGAAGUCACUUCACCUCUGAGGUUGAAAAAGUCAUUGGGAAGGCUGCAUACUUGUCUGUAGCUGGAAACAAGUCGCAUGCCCAGAAUGCUUUAAAGAGAAUAAGGCUCAAUUGGAUGUUGUCUGAGAAUAAUUUGGGUGGUCAGUUCAGAAACAUGAGAAGAACUUCUUCUGGGAACUAUGCAAAAUUUGGAUUAACUUGAAAGAAAGUCCUGCCAUCUCCUUGUGAAGAGUGUAUAGCACACACAGGAAUAAACUCCACAGUACUCCCUGUCACUCUAUAGCCUGCUGUUCUCCUAGGCCUGGUGAGUUUAGGGGCAGUUAUUAAGUAAGAAUGAGGCAGACAAAUAUGGGAAGAGUACUUGUUUUAGGUUAUACACAAGCUUUUCUUCUAAUAAUGCUCUUGGGAGUCCUUUACACACAAGUACUAUGCACACACAUCUCUGUCUGAACAAUGUACCUGGCAACUUUGAACUCCUAUUUCUGUGUUUGGCUACAUUGGCAGCUAUCUCUGGCCAGUUAGAUAAAUUUCUCCUCUAACAAUCAAACAGACAAUUUCUUUUCAAGAAUAUUCCCAAUAUAUGUAAUAUAAAGAGUAAAGGACAGACUGGGGUCUCUACGUAAACUUUUCAGGACAAUCGCUACUAUAUUAUUCCUCUCUCUAAUUGAUAUACACAUGAUGUUAAAAGGGAAAUUAUGGGAAAGGACACCAUAACAAAAAUGAUUAUAUGACCUAAUUUAUCAAAGUAGCCAGUCAAACUACUGCCUUCUUAGUAAACAGCCCCUCCUUCCUUUGGACACAACAGCAAAAUACUGUUAGGGAGUAAAAGGACCUUGGGUAUCGUCACUCCUGUGGCUGCUGCUCUCUUGCAAUGCAUCCUCAUCUUCUCUGUUGUUUUAAUUAAAUAAAAAUUUCUUCCUGCUUU